UUUUCGUGUCGAUUCAACUAACAACGCAACACUUUAUCGGGAAUCUUGAUGAAUGUAUAUUGUCGAAAACCUGCAACCAUACGUGGACACCCUCGUGUGGGUAUAAUGAGAAUGAUACAAAUUGGAGAUUAUUUUUAGAUGACUGUGAUAUGCAUGAAUACAACUGUGAUAAUAAUAAGUCAUAUAAGGAAGUAUUAAUUCAGGAAUGUAACGGCCGCUGUACACAACCGGAUUCCGAUCAUCAAAUGCCGUCGACGGUAGCAAGCUCGACUGACGCACCUGUGACAGUGGCCCCAAAGCAAGCAGAACGUCGACGACCAAAAUAGAACAGGAAGCAAGCAAAAAUACAAACGAAGUCACAACGCAGACCACAAGCGUUCCUGAUACUUCAACUGCUAUUCCUUCUUCUUCAUCUAUUGUUAGUUCAGCAGUAACUACAACCAGUCCAGAAACAAAUGAAAACAGUCAAGCUCCUUUUUCUACCACUGUUACCACUGAAAAUCCAGCCUUGAGAUGUCAUCUUGGGAACUGCACUCUGCCAUCUACCUGGGAAACUACACCUGAUGGGGAAACAAGAGAUUUCGUCCAAAUACUAAGGGAACGGUUUGGUGACAGAGUCAAAAUAAUGCGGGAUACCACUCAUUUUCCCAAACACACCACAAUGUAUUAUAGAAAAUUAGGUGUUUUUGUGCCAAGUCGUCACAGGGAAAGACUGAGAUUUGGAUAGGAAAAGAAUGAAUAUUGACGAUAA